AACGAACGCUGGCGGCAGGCUUAACACAUGCAAGUCGAGCGCCCCGCAAGGGGAGCGGCAGACGGGUGAGUAACGCGUGGGGAUCUGCCUAGUGGUACGGAACAACACGGGGAAACUCGUGCUAAUACCGUAUAAGCCCUUCGGGAGAAAGAUUUAUCGCCAUUAGAUGAACCCGCGUCUGAUUAGCUAGUUGGUGAGGUAACGGCUCACCAAGGCGACGAUCAGUAGCUGGUCUGAGAGGAUGAUCAGCCACACUGGGACUGGAGACACGGCCCAGACUCCUACGGGAGGCAGCAGUGGGGAAUAUUGGACAAUGGGCGCAAGCCUGAUCCAGCCAUGCCGCGUGAGUGAUGAAGGCCUUAGGGUUGUAAAGCUCUUUCGCUGGGGAAGAUAAUGACGGUACCCAGAGAAGAAGCCCCGGCUAACUUCGUGCCAGCCGCCGCAGUAA
rnacentral:rRNA from 1 species